rnacentral:rRNA from 1 species
AUUGAACGCUGGCGGCAUGCCUUACACAUGCAAGUCGAACGGUAACGGGCCUUCGGGUGCCGACGAGUGGCGAACGGGUGAGUAAUGUAUCGGAACGUACCAUUGAGUGGGGGAUAACGUAGCGAAAGUUACGCUAAUACCGCAUAUUCUCUCCGGAGGAAAGCAGGGGACCGCAAGGCCUUGCGCUCUUUGAGCGGCCGAUAUCAGAUUAGCUAGUUGGUGGGGUAAAAGCUCACCAAGGCGACGAUCUGUAGCGGGUCUGUGAGGAUGAUCCGCCACACUGGAACUGAGACACGGUCCAGACUCCUACGGGAGGCAGCAGUGGGGAAUUUUGGACAAUGGGGGCAACCCUGAUCCAGCCAUGCCGCGUGAGUGAAGAAGGCCUUCGGGUUGUAAAGCUCUUUCAGCCGGGAAGAAAACGCGCUCUCUAAUACAGGGUGUGGAUGACGGUACCGGAAUAAGAAGCACCGGCUAACUACGUGCCAGCCGCCGCAGUAACAC